CCUACGGGUGGCAGCAGUGAGGAAUAUUGGUCAAUGGGCGUAAGCCUGAACCAGCCAAGUCGCGUGAGGGAUGAAGGUUCUAUGGAUCGUAAACCUCUUUUAUAAGGGAAUAAAGUGUGGGACGUGUCCUAUUUUGUAUGUACCUUAUGAAUAAGGAUCGGCUAACUCCGUGCAAGCAGCCGCGGUAAAACGGAGGAUCCGAGCGUUAUCCGGAUUUCUUGGGUUUAAAGGGUGCGUAGGCGGCCUUUUAAGUCAGCGGUGAACGUCUGUGGCUCAACCAUAGAAUUGUCGUUGAAACGGGGGGGAUUGAGUAUGUUUGAGGCAGGCGGAAUGCGUGAUGUAGCGGUGAAAUGCUUAGAUAUCACGCAGAACCCCGAUUGCGAAGGCAGCCUGCCAAGCCAUGACUGACGCUGAUGCACGAAAGCGUGGGGAUCAAACAGGAUUAGAUACCCGUGUAGUC
rnacentral:rRNA from 1 species